rnacentral:rRNA from 1 species
UACGUAGGGGGCAAGCGUUGUCCGGAAUCAUUGGGCGUAAAGCGCGUGUAGGCGGCCCGGUAAGUCCGCUGUGAAAGUCGGGGGCUCAACCCUCGAAUGCCGGUGGAUACUGUUGGGCUAGAGUGCGGGAGAGGCGAGUGGAAUUCCUGGUGUAGCGGUGAAAUGCGCAGAUAUCAGGAGGAACACCAAUUGCGAAGGCAGCUCGCUGGAACGUAACUGACGCUGGAGACGCGAAAGCGUGGGGAGCAAACAGG